CUUAAGAAUUUGAAGGCUUCAACUUGCAUAUUUUGAGGAUUUGAAGACUUCAACUUGCAUACUUGGCUGAAUUUAAAGACUUCAAGCA
rfam:Solanum tuberosum cultivar DM 1-3 516 R44 scf00005_143, whole genome shotgun sequence.